UACAUGUGGGGCAAGCGUUGUUCGGAAUUAUUGGGCGUAAAGAGUGUGUAGGCGGUGCUCCAAGUCUGUUGUGAAAUCUCCCGGCUUAACUGGGAGGGUGCGGCGGAAACUGGAAUGCUAGAGGGUGGGAGAGGUAAGCGGAAUUCCUGGUGUAGCGGUGAAAUGCGUAGAUAUCAGGAGGAACACCUGUGGUGUAGACAGCUUACUGGACCACUUCUGACGCUGAGACACGAAAGCGUGGGUAGCAAACAGG
rnacentral:rRNA from 1 species